rnacentral:rRNA from 1 species
AUUGAACGCUGGCGGCAGGCCUAACACAUGCAAGUCGAGCGGAUGAAGGGAGCUUGCUCCUGGAUUCAGCGGCGGACGGGUGAGUAAUGCCUAGGAAUCUGCCUGGUAGUGGGGGAUAACGUCCGGAAACGGGCGCUAAUACCGCAUACGUCCUGAGGGAGAAAGUGGGGGAUCUUCGGACCUCACGCUAUCAGAUGAGCCUAGGUCGGAUUAGCUAGUUGGUGGGGUAAAGGCCUACCAAGGCGACGAUCCGUAACUGGUCUGAGAGGAUGAUCAGUCACACUGGAACUGAGACACGGUACAGACUCCUACGGGAGGCAGCAGUGGGGAAUAUUGGACAAUGGGCGAAAGCCUGAUCCAGCCAUGCCGCGUGUGUGAAGAAGGUCUUCGGAUUGUAAAGCACUUUAAGUUGGGAGGAAGGGCAGUAAGUUAAUACCUUGCUGUAUUGACGUUACCAACAGAAUAAGCACCGGCUAACUUCGUG